rnacentral:lncRNA from 1 species
GUUUAAUCUUUGCUCCUCCACUCUGUCGUUCCUCUCUGUGAAGGCAAACAUUGUUGCUUGUAAAGAAAUAUGAGAGACCUCUUUCUCUCUCUCCCCAUCUCUUCUUCUUUAUCCCUAUCUUUUGGGAAGUUCUUGGCCACCCAACUCGACGAAAUUGUACUUAUCUUUUUGGGGCUCGCGAUUGGCUACUUGGCUUUUAGUCACGAGGACAAUGACGUGGCCAACGAGGGAAUACAUGGAUUGAAUGAGAGAGAUUUUUCAGCGGUUGUCUUGGUUUGGUAUUGUUGGGGUAGGGUGGGCUGAGGCCUAAGAGGAAGAAACGGGGAGAGGGGAGAGAGAGAAGAGAUGAAGAGACAGAGAGAGGGUUUGCAGAGAGGAGCUGGGUAAUCUGGG